UCGACUUUCCUUGACAUCUACACAUUAGAUAUUUACUGCUUUGAUCGAUUGAUCUAUUUUUGUUUGAUUUGUAUUGUUUCUUGAACUUGAUCAUGCUAUUGUGUAUCUAGAUUUUCAUUAAUUAAUAUAAUAUUGUGAUCGUAGCCUUCGUACAAUUCAUAAUUUCUAAGUAACAAUUCUAAAUCUAUAACUUAGACAUCUGGUAUAAACAACAAAAGAAACUAAUUGGUAGCGGCUGCACAAAGUCCAUUAUGUCGAAUUUUAGAAAAAUACAAUGAAAUAAUCACAUUUUUAUAAAUGUAACUGGACAUUGAAUCAACUGACCAGCAAGGCAAUGAGACAACAUGUAAUGGCAAAUUCAGCUCCGAAUAGGACAUUUUAUUCCCUAAGAGAAUCGGAAAAAGACAUAAAGCUGUCCGAAUUGAAAUGUCGAUAUUAUUCCCGUCCUAACAUACAACCCAUUUGCGAACGAGCAAUAUGAAAUGGUAAAAAUAAAAGUCGAAAAGUGAACGUAGCAUAAAUGAACGACUAGACUGCCACUACUACACUUUUAAUACUUACCAUCUUUCCACUGCGCCCAAUACUGACUAAAAGAGAAGAAAAAUGCUUGCCGCUUAAAUUAACUUUGCACUUAGUCUACCGUUGACGUUUAACCUUUGCCGUCUACUUCAAGAAUAUUGUCAAUAUCGUGGGGGAAGUAAUGUAGCAAUUAAUGUGAACUUCUUUUAAUCCCUAGGGUGCGGUGGGAAUGCAUCUGAACACUGCUCUCGACUACAGAGUAUUUUAGAUUUUAAUAGAGUGCUUAAUAAAUAUUGGCAUCGGGUUUAACUCUUGUUAACUGAAAUAUACAUCUGUAUUUUAAAUUGUGUAAAAAAGAUGUAUUUUGUGCUAUCUAUAAACAAGAGCCUUAGCUCUGAUGGCUUUCACUGAGAAAUCAAGUCAAACUUAAUGAAGAAAUUAAAAACCCUAUGGAAAUAGAUCAUAAUAGAAACUAACGGACGACGACAGGACAAAGAAAACUUCUGUCGGACCGGAUAUUCGAAAACUUUCCGUAUCACCCGAUGUGUUGGAGACAAAAGACUGUUACGUCAUUCAGAAGCCCUGAGAGACUACACAGAUUUAUAUAGUGCAACAUGUACUAUACAGCUGCAGCCCGAGGCUGUCCUCACGUGGGAAUUUCUUGAUAGGUAUCAAUUUUCAAGUAAAAUAUUACAGAUUUUACUCUGUGUACAAAAUUCAUAGAAUCUAUUAUUUUACAUUGGACGUAAAUCAAAACAUCCUCAAAACCACCCACGUUUAUAAUAUUAAUGGCAAGUUCGCGGUAACAGCAUAGAUAAAGUAAUCAAUAGAAAGAACUUGGCUAGGAUAACGCCAAUCUACACUACUGACCAUGAUCGUGGCGAAACGAAUUACUUUGCUGAAUUUUUGAUACAAAGCAAUCCCAUUAAAUCAAAGCAAUGAACGACGAUUGGCCUCAAUCAUGGCGGAUAGUUCAGGUAUUAAAUGUAAACACCUGUUACACUAGAUCAGAUUACACUGACUGACGUUGAAAGCAAUCUGGACAACCGUUAGCAAUUCUGUAACUCGCUGAUUUGGGUAUACUAUCCUACAGUACUUCUAAAAGAGAGUAAUAAUACUAAGGAUACAUUACAGACUUUCAAGUCGAAAACAUUAAUGCGAUUAUAAAUUCAAUGAGACGAGCUUACACUUUGCGUUAACUGCUUCCGACUUGUGAGCAGAAUACUAAGUCAAUGAUUAUUCAUGAUAAAAUUAUUUCAUUAUGCCAAAAUCUCAGAUAUGCAAGUCUUCGAGAGAGUGGAUAAUUGAAUAAGACGUUACACGAGGCGUCAACAUAGAAUCAACAUUAUUAUGGAGCCGGGAACCGCCAGCGGCAACGCUAUUCCAAUUUCGCUUCGCCAUCUUGCGUACAGGCCGUUUCCUGCCCGGCAGGGACUGCCAUGUAGAGCCUGUCAGCCGUCUGCCUCCACCGAUUGUUCCUACAAUGCUGGCCAAUAACUAAUUCUCCACAUCAUAUCACGGAUGAUUGCCAAGGGGAUUGGGACAGAUUAUGAAUCCACACGUCAUAGGAUCCUUAUUAAUGUAAUUAACUUUAUCUAAAUAGCAUUUUGGAUUGCCGAGAAUUUUGAUGUGACUUACGGUUCCCGCAUUGAUAUCCCUUGAAGCAGAAAGGGUUCUAUCUCGGCCUCGAACGCGUUAUUCCAUAUACAUUCCGACCCCCGGACAAACCGUGUGAAUACACCUCUGGAUCGGAGGAGGGGCAUAAAAUAACGAUUGAUAAAUACAUAACAGGGCCUAUUAAAUCGAAAUAGUUUAUUUAAAAUCCAGAGAAUAUGCAUUUUGACAUCACCGCGCGAAGUAGAGAAAAAAGUAGGACAGCGAACCCUAGAUUCCGACGCUUUGUGGCUAAGGAAAUAACUGGGAAAGCGCUGAAAUGAGAGCGAGCGACGCUAAAUAAAAUUCCAGUCAUUGGAUAGAUAAAUCAGGCUUGCCGCAAUCAGGAACGUGCAGCCAGUGUGAAGGGGCGUGACAGCAAACGUGUUACCCGAAGAAAAUAAGCGACCCAAUGAUUUUACUACUAUGGAUGCCGAAGAUCGUGCGAAGUGGAUAAGAAAAAGAAGUAAAGCGGUCACUGGGCUCCAACGUUUACCGGUAGAGGAUGGCAAACUCAUAGAUACUCAAGACGCCGGGUUCGAAGAGUUCUCCGUUGCCACUAAGAAGUUCUUGUAGUUGACCUCCACUCGUUACCAGCGCUACUUUUCUUCCGAUGUCCCUGAGCUAGGCUUAGGCAUUGGGAAUAUACUAAAUAGUGUGUAAAAUAAUUUAACCGGAGUUUUCAGUUCAAUCAAAGCAUAAUUUUAAUUAUAUUGAUUUAAUUUUAAUCAGGAACAUGUUUGUAAUUAAAAUCAAAUCGUUUUGUAAGAUUCAUAAUUACAGUUUAUAAGUAUAUAGUCUACGAAGUUAUAGGUACGCAUCGAGAUGAAGUGUACUUCAUCAUUCCAAAUUAAUCAGAGUUAAUGAUACUCCACAAUUUCCCCGUGGUGUUUAUUGAACUGAAAAUUAUACGAAACGAAUUUUUGGUAUAUCGCUGUAAGUUAAUUGGGGAUGUUCGGUGCUAUUGAUUUAAUUAGCCGGUAACCUGAUGUAGAGUGCAUUCGAGCGUUAAAAUACAGAUUGGAUUUAACACAAUGAUUGUGAUAUGUAUGUAGUACACAAUAUUACAUAUUUAUAAAAUAGUCGAUUUGAUAUUAACAAAACUAUAGCAUGGUUUUGCUAUUCGAUGUGUACAUGCGCUCAGAAUGUUGUUCGGGGACGGGAUGAAAUACCCAUUUUGGCGCGAACAAAGCUUUCACAAACACGAUAUCGUCAGCAUAUCAAUCAAUUGAAAACAACAUUGUACUGAGCUCUAAAUCCAAGUUACAUCUAACUACAAACUAUCGCCAGAUGUACCUUUUUAUAAUAAACAACCUUUAUUUCUAAGGAGAUGGGAUUUCCAGAGUUCCCUUCGUAGUGCAUACUUCCGUAAUAUUACUUUUAUUAUAUACUAGCUUUUGCCCACUCUUAUUGUUGUCGAUAUCUCAAGUCCUAAGGAACGUAUCGCAAUGAAACCUGUACCAGAUUUUAAGUAACAUCAUCCGAUAUACAACUGUGAAAACCACAACCAAUUCCAUCAAAUAUGAAAUCAAAAAUAAUGGCCCAUAAUUAUUGUUCUUUAUCUCCUACAAUUUUAUUAAAUGUGUAGAAGAUUUGAAGAACUUUGAAAAUGUUCUACAUACAGCUCCAGCGCUUCCCUAUCAAUAAGCCAAUCAAGCGUAAUUUCACUCAAAUUAAUAUUGAAAAAAAUAACUUAGGUUAAAUCAAAUCAAACCAUAUUCAUCCACUUGGCUGCUUCGAUGUGAACACGGGCUCUCAAUUAAACACAUAAAAUUACUUCGUUGUGGUUGAUAAGUACAUACCUAACAUAUCCACCGCCAAAAUGUAAAUAUUUUCCGCUCUAUUUUUUUUUUAUGAGAAUCUGAUUGAAUAUUCUAUCACAAUAUUGCCAUGCAGUCUACAUUUCUGCUGAAAUUUUUUUUUUUAGAUUUUCAGACGAAUAAAUCAAGAAUUUUCUGAUUUUAAUUUUGGUUACUUUAAGAACACAUAUCGAUUCAACUUCGCCAGGUUCAUUCUAGAUGAUGUUAUAUCGAGG